CUUAACUCGGAAGGAUCUGGAUCACAGGUCAUUUCAUCUGAGAUCAUUCCGCAUGUAACAGCUGGAAUCACUCACUGUUUCCCACAACGACACAAGUCAUCAGCCGUUUCCUCAAGGUCACGUCAGAGCGGUGAUGAUGUGGAAGAGGCAGACCAGAGGGCUGAAGAAAGUCUCCUAAAUGGCCCUGCAGAUGUUCUGACGGACUUUGGAGUGCCUUUUGGACUGUUUUAUGCCCUCUAUUUAGAGAAGACUUAAUUCUGUAUGUUCAGUCUGUAUGAUAAGUGAAUAAAGCUUUUGUUUUUAUGUGA